rnacentral:rRNA from 1 species
CGCGUGGUUCUAUUUUGUUGGUUUCUAGGACCGCCGUAAUGAUUAAUAGGGACAGUCGGGGCCGUCUGUAUUCAAUUGUCAGAGGUGAAAUUCUUGGAUCUAUUGAAGACAAACUACUGCGAAAGCAUUCGGCAAGGAUGUUUUCAUUGAUAAGGAACGAAAGUUAGGGGAUCGAAGACGAUCAGAUACCGUCGUAGUCUUAACUAUAAACUAUGCCGACUAGGGAUCGGACGAUGUUAUUUUUUGACUCGUUCGGCACCUUUCGAGAAAUCAAAGUGCUUGGGCUCCAGGGGGAGUAUGGUCGCAAGGCUGAAACUUAAAGAAAUUGACGGAAGGGCACCACCAGGGGUGGAACCUGCGGCUUAAUUUGACUCAACACGGGGAAACUCA